GACGAACGCUGGCGGCGUGCUUAACACAUGCAAGUCGAACGGAAAGGCCCUGCUUUUGUGGGGUGCUCGAGUGGCGAACGGGUGGGUAACACGUGAGUAACCUGCCCUUGACUUUGGGAUAACUUCAGGAAACUGGGGCUAAUACCGGAUAGGAGCUCCUGCUGCAUGGUGGGGGUUGGAAAGUUUCGGCGGUUGGGGAUGGACUCGCGGCUUAUCAGCUUGUUGGUGGGGUAGUGGCUUACCAAGGCUUUGACGGGUAGCCGGCCUGAGAGGGUGACCGGCACAUUGGGACUGAGAUACGGCCCAGACUCCUACGGGAGGCAGCAGUGGGGAAUAUUGCACAAUGGGCGGAAGCCUGAUGCAGCAACGCCGCGUGCGGGAUGACGGCCUUCGGGUUGUAAACCGCUUUCGCCUGUGACGAAGCGUGAGUGACGGUAAUGGGUAAAGAAGCACCGGCUAACUACGUG
rnacentral:rRNA from 1 species